AAUUGACCAGGAAACCUCUUUCUCUAGAAUAGAUGGUAUCUCUGAGACAUCCGUUUCUUGAGGACAGAAUUCUAAUACUUCUUUGCAUCUCCCAGAGCAUUUAGCACAGAGCCUGGCGCAUACUAGGCACUUUUCUAAAUGUGUUUGGUUGGCUAAGUGAGUCAAUGAUGGGGCUCUGGAGCAGGAUCCCAAUCAGUCCAUCCAGAUGUGGAGCCAUCCUACCCGGAGAGAGAACGAUGCCGAAGGUCCCUGGGAGCCAGGCUUGAUGCUGGAGGAAGCACCAGGGAACUGGUUGCAUCAUCAUUAAGGGGCUUGUGAUGAUCUGCCAUUUCUGGGCAGGAGCCAAAGCUCCAGCCCCUCCUUCUCCCUUAAGCCUAUACGUUUCCCUUUGCUCCUCUUCCCCCGUCUUCUUGCCUUCUCUGCCUUAGGGAGAGGCUGGGCAGAAGACAGAGAACAAAAUCUGUCCCUUUGCCUACCCCUAUGUUGUCUGAAAAUAGUAACUAACUCAAAAGUCACUUUUCUUUGGCCUCCGAAUAGGUCCCAUGAGUGUUUGGGAGCAGAUUGAACUUGGCUGGUUUUAUCUUGCUUGGGCUGAAGUUAAAAUCCAGUCACAAUUCCAGGCCGCCCACUGGCUGAAGUCAGGGUAGGCAGCCUGGAAGCAGAGGUGUCAGAUGGGGUGGGGAUGCAUUGUGGGAAUUAAAAUUGAUCCGAAGAGGGCCUCGGAGGUGAAUUAGCCACUCACUAGGCGGGGCCAGAACAGCCACCUUGCAGUGCUGAGUGCUUCAUAGGCACUCAGCAAAUGCACACCACUGAGUCGCACUGGGCCUCCCAUCACAGGGUUUGUCUUGUAUCAAUUCCAGACAGUAUUUGGAAUUAUAGAAUGUAGAAUUCUAAACCGAAAAGGAUCAUUUUGCAGAUGUGGAAACUGAGGCAGACAGGUGAAGGGACUUGCCCAAAUGCACAGACUAAGUUGGGAGAAGGGGAAUAGGCAACUGGUUCACUCCAAAGUUUCAGCAGAGUGGAUUUAGCCCGUGAGCUAUUAUAUAAAUGUGACCUGAGGAGGAAAUGGACAUUUGGGGGCUAGUUUCCCUGCGAGUUGAGUAGUGGAUUUCCUAAGCCUGUGUGUUUCUGAUCUUUGCUGCCUCUCCGGUACCUACACUCUGACCAGAGAAGGCAAACAGCAGACAAGCUCAUUGGCCCUGUUUCUCUGCUGCCUCCAUGACCAUCCAUCAGCCACAAUUUCAUGUUGAAUGGGGCUGUGAGGAACUUCAAAGCUGAGAUUAUUACAUUUUGUACAUUACACUUCUGCCAGAGAGCUAAAAAUACCAUCCUGGUGGUUGCUAAGUGCAGGUCUAAUGGUUUUCCUUAGCAGAAAGAAUGGAAUUCUAGUUUCUCUGAAUCUGGAGGCCCCGAGUCCAGGGAAAUGAAGACAAAAUUAUUGGAGCUGGUUGUAGAGUGUCCCAGGGGGAGGAGAAGCUAAGAGAGGCAACACAAGAAUUAAUUCUCCCCUGUGCCAGGGAAAAUCUCCAGGGACUGAUGUCCUCAGAGGUGCUGAUCCCGGGAAGGAACACAGAGGAGCUGUGGCUUUCCUAGAGAAUUAUCCCUGAUCCUCAGGGUCCCCUUGGGGACCCAGCUUUCUGAACUUUCAUUCUUGGAAGCCUCACUCUUUGGUUUGUAUAGAAAUGGCCAGUCCCCAAAGCAGCACCUACAACCUAGUUAUUUUAAGGGAAAAAUAUUGAUUUAGGGAAAUUAAGGAGGGUCUUGGGGACAGCUCACUGCCUUCAUCAAGACCUGAUAGAUCUAGGCUGUCUCCUAGUCGGUAAGUCCCAGAAUUACCAAGUAUAUAGUCAUCUCAACACUGCCUGCUUCCUCUCACCUGACACAGCCCUCUAACUACAAACAAAAACAUUUGAUUUAUUAUUUAACCAAUACAUCAAAAAAAGUCCUAGAUCCAACUAGGAGGCUUGAUCUCCCCUGAGAGAUCCUCUUGGAGGAUUCAUGCAUUCCAGUCACUGCCAUCUCCUAGAACAGCUUCAACCCUCCUCCUUUGAAAAAGUGUCCAGCCCCAGGUCCCUGGAGCCAACAUGGCCCCUCUGGAACCAAAGUGUCUCCUCGGGACUUUUGAUUCAUUAGCUGGAGACUGUUGCCAUGGUUUCAUCCUCCUGACUACCUAGGGCAUUGAAUUCAUGUGAGUUUGCCUUCCCUAUUGCAGGCUGAUCAGUGGCCCUGGAGGUAGGUGAGGAGUUAGUUGGGUUGCAGGGAAGCUAGCCUGGAGCGAGGUGUUUGAAGCAGUUUUUUAGCAGCUCCACAAAGGAAAGGCCCGGGGGUCUAGUGAGACGUUGUUUGUACCCAUGUGGCAGUCAGUGGGUGCCAGGCUGAGAGCUGUGUACUCAGCAGAAGAAAAGGCAUGUGUGUCAUUGUUGGGGGGUAGGGGGUUGGUUUUAUCUUGCUUAUUUUGUUCAGGGAAGCGUUGACGAGUUCGCCUCCUUGCUCAGGCAAUGAUCACAAAUGCAGAGUUCAUCUUAGACGACUUCCUCGGGAAGAAAAAAUAGUAGGAAAAUAAAUCUUUAUGAGUAAGAAGUAUAAGAUUGCACUUGACUCACUACACUUGGCUCCACAGUUCUUUCUCCUGUCACCAAAAAUCAACCCUGCUCUCCCGAGAUGGAGAUCUGCCCUGUUGGUAGACCACAGGCACUUUAAAGAGCAGGCAAAACGCUCCAAAGGCAAUUCCAAACAACAAAGAAAAGAACUUCUGGAAGUUCUCAAGCAAGGCAGCAACUCAGUCCCAAGGUGUCUAUUUUGAAAGAACAACAUAUUUGAAUGUGUAUGUUCUCAGAUGUUUGUUAAAACAGCCCCAUGGGUUGCAACUCGUCAGCGGUCCAUGCAAGAAGGGGAGCAGUGGGGUGAUUCGUUUAAAACAGUGGAAAAUCACAAAGCUCAGUGUUGUUUGACUUCCAAUGUGUAGUGGGAUACAUAGAUAUUGUGUAUUUCUGACAGCAUGUUUGCCUUACCAAUUAUGUUUUGCUUCAACCAGUAUGGAAAUGAGCUGCCCGUCUGUGAGUGCACAGCAAUUAAUGGCUGGGUCAGGCUGCUUGGAAGCUUUCUGAGUAUGUGGAGCAAUGGGUAAAACCUCACAGGAUUUAACAUUUCUACAGAUGACUCGCCCAGUGUGUAAUCCACCUAGGUAUAAUCGAGUGUUGGCUGCAAUCAGAUUCAUUAGUAGCCCAAGAAUUAAACCUACCCCCAUCCCCAACCCCGUCCAAUCAUUCUCCGUUCUCCCCUGCUUGUGCCAGAUAUUUUAUGAAUCUUGAGUACCACAGGCUGCCAAGCAGGCAGCUCUGCAUCAGUGGCAAGGGGGCUAAUCUAUAUUUGCAUAUUAACCAUACUUCCCAGUGAAUUUCAAUAACUUGGAAAUGGGCAUUUAGCAGCUGGGAGGGAGAAGGCAUGUUAAGUGCUCACAACAAGUCUAUAAUAAGCAUCUGCUUGAGAGAGAGAUCCUCUCUAGCCAAAUGCCCAAUGCCUGAUCGGGGCCCUGGGCUAGGUCUGCAGCUGCACAUAACAGACACUUAGCCUGUCUUCCCAGGUGGAGCGAGCAGCAUUUCUGGCCCAAAAUGUCACUCUCUUAUUCAUAAAGUAGAGUUCCUAAGCUAGACUUCUGCCCACAAUCCUUCUCACCCCAAGUAGGGCUACUGGUGUAAGACUCUCUCCUUCAGAAGAUUUCACCCAGUAAUUCCCACCACCUAUCAUGCCACAGGUGCCUCCAUACCACAUGCCACACCAUUACAUGCCUUGUUAAUAUGCUGCUAGGCAAGCAGUCCUAAGGAGGGCUGGUGCCACCUUUGUCCUGGCUAGAUUUCUGUCUCCUGAGGGCAGGGUCUGUUCUUGUCUGAGUGCUUCAUCCUUUGUACCACCACCCUCCACACACAAUGCACACAGCUCCUGGAAGAGGGCAGAGACAUUUCGAGGCAGGACAGGCAGGGAUACUGCACAAGGGAACAAUGUCGGGUAGGUGGCCCAGGCCAGGACUGGAUCAGCAUUCUCACCUGAAGCUUCUUCGGACACUGGGACCAAAAGAGGCAUUAGCCAGAUGCCACUGGGGAAACUGAUCUUCAGACUCUGGGAAGCCCAGACAUAGCUUCAAGUCAAAAGAUCAGAGGCAAAAAUAAAAUCCAGGUUGCAAAACCAAGAGCUGAAGUUGAGAAGAGACAGCAUCAGAGUGAGAGCAAUGCCUAACAUUGUACCUGGCCCAGAGUGGGUGUCCAUCCUGGAUUUGUUGAAUGAAUGAGGAAUGCUCCCUAAAGCCACGGAGACAUCUGCCUUUGUAAAACUGAUGAGUGUUCUCACUGGGUACAUGGGAGUGGACAGGCCAACUUAAAGGGCCUGAAGUGGAAAUGAUCAUAAUUUUCUCUCUCACGGCCUCUUUUUCAGGAAUCCCAGCUCCAACCUCUAUAAAUGUGUUGUUCAUUUAUUGUCUGGCACUAAGAUUCCUUGUUUCCCAUUUUCUCUGUCACUUUCUUUAGCCCACCCUAAAAUUUUGCUCUCCUUCCAUAAAAAAACACUCUUUCUCCCCAAAAAAGAAGCAGCAGUAUCCCUUCAGCCUCCUCAUGUAUCUGAUCCUAAUGCUUCUGUCCAUGACUUUAUGAGAGCCUUCUAUACCAGCAUUUCCCAAAAUGUGCCUUGUAGAACAUUGUUCCAUAGAAUGUUAAUGAUAAAAAGGUUCACAGGUCAAAUAAAUUUAGAAAACAUUGGAUUUAACAAAAUUAAACAAGGUUCUUCAGUGUAGGGCUUCUCUGUCUCUAAAGAUACUAAUAAUGUGCAUUCCUAGAAGGGAAAUGCCAAAUUUACUUAACCUCAGAGCCCUUUUCUGUGGUGCUUCUGCUUCUUGCAGGACUAAGGGUCUGCCGAGCACACUUUGGAAAUCUACAGUCUUGUCUUUUCUUUGGUGCCCCAUCCUCUGUCCUUUUACCUGUAAAGUGGGGAUAAUAAUAGUGCCCACCUUAAAGGGUUAUUGUGAAGAUCAAAUGAAUUAGUACAUGUGAAGUGUUUACAAUGUGUCUUGCACUUAGUAAGCAUCACAUAUAAGGUUUUAUUUUUAGUAUCUUUGUUAUUAUUAUUUCUGGCUCUUUUUAAUCUACCUUUGGCCUUCGCUGCUCCACGGAACUUGCUCUUGACAGUACUGACCAUUUCUCAGGCCCCAAAUCCAGUGGCCUUUCCUGCUCCUGAUCUCCUUGGCCCCUGCAGCAUUUGAUGCUCAGUUCUCCCCACUUCCUAACACUUUACCCUCUUUCCUUGGACCUCUCUUCACCUGCUCUCUCCUGCUGUCUUCAUGCCAUUCUGGUCAUUACUCCUUUUGUUCCUCCUUUCCUCCACCUUAUAAAUUUAGGUUUUAUCCAAGGAUCAUCCUUGACUCUUUUUUCUCUUUCUCAACGCUCUCCUUUGGAAACCAUAUCCAAUUUCAAAGCUUCAUCUGCCAACCUUGAUGAAGGCAGGUGGUACCCAAAUUAACUUCCUAUCCCUAACUUCUCUCCUUAACUCCAUAUUGUCCCACUUUUCUAUCUUUGUGUCUCCACCUUCAUUCCUUACAAUCCAUUAAACUCAAUGUGUCCAGUGAGUUUAUAGCUUUACCCCUUUAACUUUGUUCUUCCUUUCAUGCUCCCUAUUUCUCUUAGUGACACCGUUGUCCUUCCUGUCACACAAGCUGACUCCUCCUUGCCUCUCGCUAGGUCCUACCAAUUGUGUUACCAUCUGGCUCUGAACUCCAUUUCCUUGUCUGUGUUUUCUCUGCCUCAUCCAUGAUUCACUCCUUCAUCAUUCCUUCAUUGCCUUGAUAAUCAUAAUGGCUUCUUAACCUGACGUUCCUACCACAGUUCAUUUCCCACUGUGCUUCUAGAAUACUCUAAAAAAAAUCAUUAUUUCAUAUCCUGCUUGAAAACAUUCAGUUACUCUCUACUUACAGAACCAAGUUGCAACUCAAGGCCAUUCACAGUAUAGUCUCAGCUAUCUUUCUCAUCUCAUCUCCUAUUCCUUCUCUUCACAAACCCUUCACCACAACCCUCUGAUAUCUCAAUGUGCUCCACAUAUGCCCCCAUUCCUCCACAUUUCAAUUGCUGCUUUCUCCAUGCAGUCACAGAGUUGAUCCAGCUAGAGCCCGCCCUUUCCUCUUCAGAUCUCCCACUGCACAUGCAGAUAAGUAUGUCUCUUUGUGACAUCCCCCUGUGUGUGGAUGUUAUAUUCCCGUUAUAUCCCCACUGUUAUAUCCCUACUAGGGGGAUGUUAUAUUCCUUCGGGACAGGAUCUAUGUCUGACUCUGUCUAUCUUCCAUCCCAUAUAUGCUUUGCACAGGAUAGUACCUCAAUAGAUGUUUGUUAGAUUGAAUGGAUGGAUAGGUGAUUGGAUGGAGGUAUCUCUUUCUUCUUGUGUCUUUUUUUCUUUCACUGAGUGCAAUCCCAUGUACCAUUUUCAACAAGAGACCCUGUAGCAUCAUAUUUAUUGGCUUAUAUGGCUGCUACUCCAGAUCUUGGACUUGAUGCUCCCUCUGCACAGAUCAAAGCUCUCUUAACAAGGCACCCUAGCUGAUAGCUCUCCAAGCAGUGCCCUCCUUGGAUCCCUGAUGCUCUUAUCUUCAAAAUGGCACUGGCAUCAGCUGACCCUCUAAUUGAAGCCAUAAGCCUUUGUUAUUCCCAGUAAUUUCCUUCAGUGUCAAAGUGAUCAUCUGUCCUCUUAGUUCAAGCUAAGUCUCCCUCUGUGACACAGUGACUCUGGUGUCCAGCAUCAGAAUGAGAAGUCCCCACCUCCCUUCCUUCUGCGCUGCAAUUGCCCCCUAAUGCCUGCUAUUAGCAAAGCCUGAUAGAAAGCCAGUUAUCAAGGCAAUCCACAGAGCUCCAGCUCAGAAGAGAGAAUUUAGUUGGAGCUGUGGCAGUAGGCAAGUAACCGGCACCAUCAUUUGCUGGGUCUGUAAGCUUGGGCAAGUUGCUUAUCUUCUCUGUGCUUCAGUUUUUUCAUCUUUAAAAUAGGAGUAACAAUUAUGCUUACUUCAUAGGGCCAUUGUGAGGCUUAAAUGAGCUAACGCAUGGAAAAUACUUAGAACAGGGCUUGAUACAAGCAAGUGCUUGAUAAAUUUUACCUAUUGUUAGUCUGCCAGUGUGUGUCUCAGUUAAUCUCUUUGCUUCCCAUUCCACUCCCUCAAAAAACACACAUACUACAGUUGUCCUUGAUAUUUAUUUGAUACAAACACUUUAUUUCAGCGUGUGACAUGUGUGUCUGUACGUGUGUGUGUGUGUGUGUGUGUUCAUUCUUUUGGAAAACAGCUUCACACACACAGAGUACAGACUUGACCAGGUAUGAAUCCCAAACCUGGAUCCACCACUUACUGGCUGCAUGUCAAUCUUCACAGUAAAGACCUGUGGUCUGCUGGGAAAUUGUAAAAGUUUAUUUGUGAGCAGUUAAUUUAGUGUCUUUACAAAUCCCUUCCUCAUCUGUGAAAGCAGGCUAAUAAUACUCCUUGCAGUGUUAUUAAAUGAGGUGAUACACAUGGAACUGACUAGCACAUGGUCUGGCAAUGAGAGAACAUAGUGCAUGUUCUCUGUGUUGGUCUCAAUUCUCUCUUCCUUCCCAACUGAGCACAUUGGGCAAUGGGUGGCUUGGAGCUUUGAAUACCCUGUGACUGUCCCUAUUUAUUGUCCAGUUAGGCCAAUCCCUGGAAGAAUAUGUGGGCCAGUAUAUGCAAUGUGGCCAUAACCCCAACUCAUUCAAGAUCCCAGAGUGGCACUGGGGAUGGAAGAAAGUGAAGUGAUGCUGUGACAGAAAGAGCUCAGGCUGGUGGACAAAUUUGGAUGAAGGGCUCAGCUUUCAUGGAAACAAAUGGCAUGUGGAGGGAGGAUCAUCCAUCUCUCCAUUUCCACUGAGGAAUGAAGUUGUAGCAUGCAAGAUGUAGGGUAGGCACAAGGAAGUACUUCCUGGCUGUAUCCUAUACAUUCUGCUUACUGUGGCUUCUGUAAAGUACUGUCCAGACUCAAACAAUGCCUGGAGUUGAAAGAAGGCAAACAUGUCCAACCAAAUUCCUGCCAGUAGUGACUCCUUUUGCCUUCUGGGCCCCAGUGUCCUUCAGGGUCUCUUCAGUGGUUCUAACUGGGUUCAGGGAGAGAGUAAAGUACCAAACUUGCAGGGCUUUGUGAAGUCAUCCCAUCCAACCUCUCCUUUCCCGCGAUGCCAGUCCCAGCCCUUCCCUGGCUCACUGAGGUCUCUUCUCUUCUCAGAGGAGGUAAUGCUGAGACCAAGAUGGCCCAAAGAGCUUCUCUGUGCACUCAGAGGACCUUGGGAGAAGAAGAACUUCAGAAGGGUCAGCACUGCAACUCCCAGCCAGUGGCUUCCCAGCAGGAGCCUGACACAUAGCAUCAGCUCAUCAGGGCCUUGUAGGUCAUGCUAGGGAGUUUCAAUCUUCUAAAAACAGUGGGAACUGAGAAACAUUUUAAAUAGGAGACAGACAUGAUCAAAUUUGCUUUUUUGAAAGGUCACUCUGGCUGCUGUGUGGAGAAAAAAACUGGACAUGAGUAGGAGGGAGAAAUGGAGACCAGUGAGAGAGCUAUUGUGCUGCUGGUCCCAGAAGGUCCCAAAUGACAAGGUGACAUUUGACCAAAGAUCUGAAUAAAGUUAGCCAAGCGUUUAUGCCAGGCAGAGGGGAGAAUAAGUGCAAAGGCCCUGAGGCAGGAGUGUCCUCAUUUGAUCCAGGACCAGCCUGGGGGCAGGGGAGCGUCUAGAGCAGAACUGGCCAAGGGAAAAGAGUAGGCAUUGAGGUUAGAGAGGCAGUGGGGAGUCAGAUCAUGGAAGGCCUUGUAGGAGAGUGACCAACCACUCCAUUUUGCCUAGGACUGAGGGUUGUCCUGGGAUGGGGGACUUUCAGCGCUAAAACUGACCUGUGGAUAACAGAACUGACCCAUCCAUCAGGCACAGGAGAGACUGUGCUUAGGGCCCACAACACUUUUAGGGGCCCAUGACAAUGUUUUAAUUUUUUUUUAAUCAGAAGAAAAAAUCAACAUGAUAAUAAUGAAUUUAGCCUGGAUUAUAUUUGUCUUCAUUCCCAUGCUAUUUAAAAGUCUAAUUUUUAAAAAGUUUUUAUGGAGAAAUGGGACCAUGAAAGCAAAGGAUCCACAAAAAUCAUAACGCAGCCCCCAAAACCAUGAUGUCAAGUCACCCUAUCUCAUAGGCCUUUGGAGGGACUUUGGCUCAGGGUAGGUUGAACUUAUUCACCUUUUACAGAGGAGAGAACUGGACACUUUGAAGCGUCAAAGUAAGGCAGUGCCUAAGAGAUGCUGGUGGGUUUGCCCAGGGAAAUGGCAAGGGAGAAGGGAUUUGAUGGAGUUAAGAAAAACUCUAAUAGUGGGGUUGACAAGACUGGAUGAUUGUUUCCAUGUGUGCCUUGGGUGGGCACGGGUGAGAAGGAGGCCUACGUGACUCUCAGUUCACUAACUUGGGCAGCCACAUGUUUGAAGUUGCCUUUCGCUGAGAUGUGGAACCGGCAGCCGACAACCUCCAGUAAGUCACGUCACUCUUCUGAGUAUCAGCUUCCUGUCCUAAUGGGGGCACUGCAGACCAUCUCACAGCAUUAUUGCGAGAAGCAGAAAAAUUUUUUAAUAACCCAAGUAAAUGUGCCUGGUACACAGUAGGUGUUCAUAAACAUGAGUUGAAGCUUUCUUAAGGUCUAGUAUCAUUCAUUCAUUCUAGAUUGCAAAAAAAGUGAAAUUCAUAUAUUACUAAGGUUAAAUGUACUAUUAAGAAAAAUUCUAUUAGAAGAUGGAGAGUCAAGGAGGGGGCUCUUUAGACAGGGGGAUCAGAGGACGCCUCCCAGAGGCAGCGCCUGUGGACCAGUGAGUUCACCUGGCACUGGGGAGGACCUUCCACCGAGAAAAGGGGCAGGCCUAGGAGUACUCUGGGUACCCCUAACAGGAACAGAGAGGAGAAGAAAGCUGGAGUCCCCUGGAGGGCUGGGCCAAGUGGUUGUCAGAGGCAUAGAUUUGCUGAGGAGGCAACAAUCACCACACUGUUCUUCCGACUGAGGGUUGCCAACACCCCCCAUAAGCGACGGGUAUUUACUUCUCCCGGCUGUACUGCAUAUGCUGGCAAAAGAAGCCUUCGGAGCUCAGCCAGGAGAGGAGGAGGACAACACUCACUCCAUCAGCCCACAGGAACACUUCGUCCUGUCCCUGCUACCUGGGUCAGCAAAACCAGCCCCAUGCCCUCUGCACAGAAGCAGAAUGGUGCCGACAUCUCUGUCCUCCUCGGCACGCGCUGUGACCCCACGCCCAGGGCUGCACCUUCUCUCAGGGACUGUGGAGCCCAGAGCAUCUGUAACACCGCGAUGAUGAUCCUAGAAACCAUACAGGGCUGCUGUGAGGCUUACCCAAAGUAACGAAUAUGAAAAGUGCUUUGUAAACUGCAAGGCGUUUUACAGAUGUUCACUUACUAUUUGUAAAUGAAAUCAAUGAGAAGGCGCAUGAUGAGUGUCCAGGAACUGGGUGGAGGCAGAGAAGGUUAGAGGAGGAGGAGUGGCCACAAAGCACCCACAGGGACUGUGACCGACACAGAAAGACAGUGUGUCAAAGGUACAUGAAUAAACAUGAGACGUCCUCAA